UAAGAUUCUCCAUCUGCCUCCCCAGACAAAAACCACACACACACACACACACACACACACAAACACACACACACCCUAAAACCACACACACAUGCACAGACACACAGCCUUACAGACUUGAAAUAAAACCCAAGUGAAGAUCUCCAACUGGAAACAGUUGCUGCCUGCCGAUCUUAUCCAUGGGAUCAGCUUGGAAGAAGUUGGGGGUUGUGUUUGUAAUCUGUUGUUACCAGAAGUCGAGCUUCUGGGAAGAAAUAAAAGGGAUCAUAGGUUGUGAUUUGCUCUUCUGCAUUUUUAGUCUUAACUUCUUCUUUUCUUCCUGUAUCUUUGAGGGCUCUGGAUUUUGAAUCCGCACAGAGGGCCUACUUUCAAGGGACGAAGAGGAGUUUGGGAACACUCUUGCUGGCUGGAUUGGUAACUAGUGGCUGGGCUCCAACAGCCCUGCAAACAGUAAGGGUAUUUUCUGCACCUUCCCAUCUCAGGCCCUGCGGUCAGCCCAGUGUGGACUCUGAGGUUCAGAUUCAUCCGUGGGGUUCUUCCAGUUUGCCCAGAAGUGCUCUGAACACCCCAAACAAGCAUCUCAGCUCCAGUUCUGAGGAAGGGAUUGUCUUUGAAGUGGUUCAAUUAAGAUGGUGUCCAUGUCCCCUAAGACCUGGAAAUGGGCAGGUGUGCAGAGCUGACAAAGAGCAUCUGCAGGGAUGAAACAAACACGUCUGAAUUUUCAUCAGAUCUGAGCUGCCUCACAGAAGGGACUCAAGAACCCUUUGGCAUCCCUUUGGGAUGAUGGCUGCCUCAGACGCUUCUGUUCCAAACUCUUGUUUCCAGAGGAAACUGACCACCUGGCUUUCUAGCAGGGAACUCAACCCACCUGGCUGUGGGAUUGCUUUGGCCUUCUCAGUUCACUCUUGGAGUCUCGGAGCAGAGAUCUUGAAAUAGGAGGAACUCCCCCUCUACCCGCAACACCCUACUCAACCCCCCAGCCAAUACCACGGAACAUCUAAUGUCAGAUAGAACAUGCUCCUGUUAUAGGCUUGUCAAGGAAACCUAAAUAUCUGGGGAUGACUUAAGUCUCUGAGCAACAAAUGGAGGAUGCUUAUGGACUUGGGAAGAGUAGCUUGCCCAUGUGUGCACUCCCUUAAUCUCUGACAAUCCAGAGCGCUGGGUUGAAAAGACAAUUGGUAUUCUCUCCCCUCUUCUCCUCCUUCUGAGGUUUCCUUCCAUGCAAUGAUGUGAAGAGUAGGUAAAGGGGGCUCUCAUGGACUCUUGGACAUGCAGUUGAUUCAUUGGGAUCACUGCGAAACCUGAGGGAGAAAGGCACCUUACCAGGAAAUGUUGAGCAAGCAAGCUCAAUGGAAGUUUGCUUUUUUUUUUACAGUUAAGACCUUCCUCAGAGAAAGACUCUCCAAUUUGCACAGUCUACUUCCCAAACUCACUUCUCCCCUCUCACUUUGUCUAUAACUCCUGCUUCUUCGUGGAAACAUACGCCUCUUGCUGAGUUAUGUUCUUUAAAUUCUACUCUCUCAACUCCACUUUUACCCAAAAUAUCACACACAAGAUAUCUCCAGAUAUACCUGUCUACCUCCAGGGCCACUUAGAAGACCAAAUGUUCUCACACAUAUUUAAUCUAAAGCUUCCCUCUCAUUUAAGUGGCAUGCAUUUCCCCCUUUAAUCAGUGCUACUAAUGGGGUUGGUGAGAAUUCUAGGAAAAGUGCUAAGAUCCCAAGAGCAUUCGCAUUGUUAUUGCACAGAUCUAAGUCCAAGUGUGAGCUCUGCCACCACAGAGCUAUGAGGCUAGAGGUCUCAGAGCCUCAGCGGUUACACCACAAAACUGAAGACAAUAAUAACGCCCUCAUCAC
ensembl:lincRNA